GUCUUAAGUACUUAAAAUACAAAAUUGUAUCAAUUAUUACAAGUAUUUAUAUCUGUAAACUGAUAUAAUUUGAAUUACAACUUAUGAAUCACACUCUUUAUCAAAGCUAGCUAAAUUUAUGCAUGCGUGUAGAGCAGUGACCAGAUUAGCCACAUAGGUCCGCACUGACUUAUCAUGGAUGACACUGUCUGUAGGUCCGCACUGACUUAUCAUGGAUGACACUGUCUACAUAGGUCCGCACUGACUUAUCAUGGAUGACACUGUCUACAUAGGUCCACACUGACUUAUCAUGGAUGACACUGUCUACAUAGGUCCACACUGACUUAUCAUGGAUGACACUGUCUACAUAGGUCCACACUGACUUAUCAUGGAUGACACUGUCUACAUAGGUCCACACUGACUUAUCAUGGAUGACACUGUCUACAUAGGUCCACACUGACUUAUCAUGGAUGACACUGUCUACAUAGGUCCACACUGACUUAUCAUGGAUGACACUGUCUACAUAGGUCCACACUGACUUAUCAUGGAUGACACUGUCUACAUAGGUCCACACUGACUUAUCAUGGAUGACACUGUCUACAUAGGUCCACACUGACUUAUCAUGGAUGACACUGUCUACAUAGGUCCACACUGACUUAUCAUGGAUGACACUGUCUACAUAGGUCCACACUGACUUAUCAUGGAUGACACUGUCUACAUAGGUCCGCACUGACUUAUCAUGGAUGACACUGUCUACAUAGGUC